rnacentral:rRNA from 1 species
GACGAAGGUGGCAAGCGUUACUCGGAAUUACUAGGCGUAAAGCGCGAGCAGGCGGUUCAGCAAGUCUGUCGUGAAAGCCCCGGGCUCAACCCGGGGAGGCCGAUGGAAACUGCUGGACUUGAAUACGGGAGAGGUCACUGGAAUUCCUGGUGUAGCGGUGAAAUGCGUAGAUAUCAGGAGGAACACCGAAGGCGAAAGCAGGUGACUGGACCGUUAUUGACGCUGAGUCGCGAAAGCUAGGGGAGCAAAC